GAGUCGACUCCAAGACAGUUCGAGUCGACUCCAAGGCAGCGCGACCCCAAAAGACAGAAGACNGUUUUUUUGGAUACUGAGGGCCGAGUCGACUCCGAGACAGUUCGAGUCGACUCCGAGACAGCACGAGCCAAAAGACAGAAGCUCGGGAGUUCGGACUCUGAGCACCGAGUCGACUCCCAGAAUUUCCGAGUCGACUCGAGUAAGCAAAGUUGAAAAAUGCAUCCAUGGAUUCCUUGGGAUGAGCCGACUCC
rnacentral:lncRNA from 1 species